GGAGAUCUUAAUGCUGGACACAUUAGCAUGGAUGACUGCAGAGGGAGCGUCCACCUUCUGGACUGCAUACUGUGUUCAGCAGAGAAGAAAAUGGGACAAGGGCCCACCUGACUCCACAGGAAGCCAGAGGAAGGCUCUCUGAGACGCCAACAGCUCUGUGCGGCCGGGACUAUACGUGGAGACCCUGAAGCUCUGGCCACUCGUGCUUUUCAAGGUGCUGUGACUUUAGUUUAAAUCUUAAAAAUACUGCUGGGCAAGAUCUCAAACUGGAGUGCGCAGAGGGCAGAGACCAUGGUAUCCUGAGUCUGUAGCCAAACAGGGACCCUGGGCCUGAGCAGCUGACAGUCCUGCAGGUUACGGCUGACUGCCGCCACUCCAGGUCACAACUCUUGAUGGGUCAGCUUAUUCCACUUCCAAAAGCCAGUGGGGAAACUGUCAGACUCCUGAGCCAUAGGAGGGAGAAAAUCGUGUGUGAGCAAAGCUGUCAGUGUGUCUGCAGGAAGGGAGAAGACAGAGCUGGCUGGAGGCCACGUAUUGCCGGCAUAGGAAGCAACUGCACUCUAGUGGUCAUCCUCCCAAGAUCCACAUGCCAGCCAGGAGGCUCCCACCCAGCACACACAGCAGCUGGGCAGGCUCGCACUGGACCUGCAUCUAAAACACACUCCUGGGGGCUGGGGAUGUGGCUCAAGUGGUAGUGCGCUCGCCUGGCAUGCGUGCGGCCCGGGUUCGAUCCUCAGCACCACAUACAUACCAAUAAAACAAAACAAAGAUGUUGUGUCCGCUGAUAACUAAAAAAUAAAAUAUUAAAAAAUAAAUAAAUAAAUAAAACACACUCCUUCAAAGACACCGUGCACAGAGCCCACUCAUCUCCAGCAGUCACAUCUCGGUACCUUCUGGGUGCAAACAGGCCUGUGGCUCCUCCAGAUAGACUGGAUCACCAUGUUCCUGCUGAGUAUCCACACG
rnacentral:lncRNA from 1 species